GACGAACGCUGGCGGCGUGCUUAACACAUGCAAGUCGAACGCUGAAGACCUGGCUUUUGUUGGGUUGGAUGAGUGGCGAACGGGUGAGUAACACGUGAGUAACCUGCCCUCUUCUUUGGGAUAACGCCCGGAAACGGGUGCUAAUACUGGAUAUUCACUGAUCUUCGCAUGGGGGUUGGUGGAAAGGGUUGUUCUGGUGGGGGAUGGGCUCGCGGCCUAUCAGCUUGUUGGUGGGGUGAUGGCCUACCAAGGCUUUGACGGGUAGCCGGCCUGAGAGGGUGACCGGUCACAUUGGGACUGAGCUACGGCCCAGACUCCUACGGGAGGCAGCAGUGGGGAAUAUUGCACAAUGGGCGAAAGCCUGAUGCAGCGACGCCGCGUGAGGGAUGGAGGCCUUCGGGUUGUAAACCUCUUUCGCUCAUGGUCAAGCCGCAACUGUGGGUUGUGGUGAGGGUAGUGGGUAAAGAAGCGCCGGCUAACUACGUG
rnacentral:rRNA from 1 species